rnacentral:rRNA from 1 species
GAGUGGCGGACGGGUGAGUAACACGUGGGUAACCUGCCCUAAAGUGGGGGAUAACAUUUGGAAACAGAUGCUAAUACCGCAUAAAACCUAACACCGCAUGGUGUAGGGUUGAAAGAUGGUUUCGGCUAUCACUUUAGGAUGGACCCGCGGUGCAUUAGUUAGUUGGUGAGGUAAAGGCUCACCAAGACCGUGAUGCAUAGCCGACCUGAGAGGGUAAUCCGCCACACUGGGACUGAAACACGGCCCCAACUCCUACGGGAGGCGCCCACAAGGAAUCUUCCACAAUGGACGAAAGUCUGAUGGAGCAACGCCGCGUGAGUGAAGAAGGUUUUCGGAUCGUAAAACUCUGUUGUUGGAGAAGAAUGUAUCUGAUAGUAACUGAUCAGGUAGUGACGGUAUCCAACCAGAAAGCCACGGCUAACUACGUGCCAGCAGCCGCGGUAAUACGUAGGUGGCAAGCGUUGUCCGGAUUUAUUGGGCGUAAAGCGAGCGCAGGGCGGUUUCUUAGUCUGAUGUGAAAGCCUUCGGCUCAACCGAAGAAGUGCAUCGGAAACUGGGAAACUUGAGUGCAGAAGAGGACAGUGGAACUCCAUGUGUAGCGGUGAAAUGCGUAGAUAUAUGGAAGAACACCAGUGGCGAAGGCGGCUGUCUGGUCUGUAACUGACGCUGAGGCUCGAAAGCAUGGGUAGCAAACAGGAUUAGAUACCCUGGUAGUCCAUGCCGUAAACGAUGAGUGCUAGGUGUUGGAGGGUUUCCGCCCUUCAGUGCCGCAGCUAACGCAUUAAGCACUCCGCCUGGGGAGUACGACCGCAAGGUUGAAACUCAAAGGAAUUGGCGGGGGUCCACACAAGCGGGGGAACAGGUGGUAUAAUUUGAAGCAACGCGAAGAACCUUCCCAGGUCUUGACAUCCUUUGACCACUCUAGAGAUAGAGCUUUCCCUUCGGGGACAAAGUGACAGGUGGUGCAUGGUUGUCGUCAGCUCGUGUCGUGAGAUGUUGGGUUAAGUCCCGCAACGAGCGCAACCCUUAUUACUAGUUGCCAGCAUUUAGUUGGGCACUCUAGUGAGACUGCCGGCGACAAACCGGAGGAAGGUGGGGACGACGUCAAAUCAUCAUGCCCCUUAUGACCUGGGCUACACACGUGCUCCAAUGGAUGGUACAACGAGUUGCGAGACCGCGAGGUUUAGCUAAUCUCUUAAAACCAUUCUCAGUUCGGAUUGUAGGCUGCAACUCGCCUACAUGAAGCCGGAAUCGCUAGUAAUCGCGGAUCAGCAUGCCGCGGUGAAUACGUUCCCGGGCCUUGUACACACCGCCCGUCACACCAUGAGAGUUUGUAACACCCAAAGCCGGUGAGGUAACCCUC